ensembl:misc_RNA Metazoa_SRP Metazoan signal recognition particle RNA
GCCAGGUGCGGUGGCGCAUGCCUAUAGUCCCAGCUACUCAGGAGGCUGAGGUGGGAGGAUCACUUGAACCCAGGAGUUCUAGGCCAUAGUGCGCUAUGUCGAUCUGGUGUCCGCACUAAGUUCGACAUCAAUAUGGUGACCUCCUGGGAGCGGGGAACCACCAGGUUGCCUAAGGAGGGGUGAACUGGCCCAGGUCAAAAUCGAGCAGGUCAAAACUCCCGUGCUGAUCAGUAGUGGGAUCGCGCCUGUGAAUAGCCACUGCACUCCAACCUGGGCAACAUAGCAAGACCCUGUCUCUU